CCUACGGGAGGCUGCAGUGAGGAAUAUUGGUCAAUGGACGCAAGUCUGAACCAGCCAUGCCGCGUGCAGGAAGACGGCUCUAUGAGUUGUAAACUGCUUUUGUACGAGGGUAAACGCAGAUACGCGUAUCUGUCUGAAAGUAUCGUACGAAUAAGGAUUGGCCAACUCCGUGCCAGCAGCCGCGGUAAUACGGAGGAUUGCAGCGUUAUCCGGAUUUAUUGGGUUUAAAGGGUGCGUAGGGGGUCGGAGAAGUUAGAGGUGAAAUCCCGAGGCUCAACUUCGGAAUUGCCUUUGAUACUGUUCGGCUAGAGAGUAGUUGCGGUAGGCGGAAUGUAUGGUGUAGCGGUGAAAUGCAUAGAGAUGACGAAGAACCCCGAUUGCGAAGGCAGCUUGCUGCAGCGGAACUGACGCUGAUGCACGAAAGCGCGGGUAUCGAACAGGAUUAGAUACCCGGGUAGUC
rnacentral:rRNA from 1 species